GAUGAAGAACGUAGCGAAAUGCGAUAAGUAAUGUGAAUUGCAGAAUUCAGUGAAUCAUCGAAUCUUUGAACGCACAUUGCGCCCGCCAGUAUUCUGGCGGGCAUGCCUGUUCGAGCGUCAUUUCAACCCUCAAGACCCCUUCGGGGGACUUGGUGUUGGGGACCGGCACAGGGGCCUGCCUGCUUGUCUUGCAGCGCCCUCGCCGCCCCCGAAAUGAAUUGGCGGCCUCGUCGCGGCCUCCCCUGCGUAGUAGCACAACCUCGCAACGGGAACGUGACGGCGGCCACUGCCGUAAACCAACCCCAAUUUUAUUAGAGUUGACCUCGAAUCAGGUAGGAAUACCCGCUGAACUUAAGCAUAUCAAUAAGCGGAGGA
rnacentral:misc_RNA from 1 species